rnacentral:ncRNA from 2 species
CUCUUAUUCUGAGUAGGUGGAGGGACAGGCCCUAUGAAACCCAGCAACCGACAUGAAAGCGGAGUUUAUAAUCUGCUUAAAAUGAAAAGGUGCUAACCUGCAAGGUGAAAAUAACCUUGGACAAUAAGAG